rnacentral:lncRNA from 1 species
CUCUGAGGUCAUGGAAUGAUAACGCCUGCAGCCGGAAGUUCCCUUUUGUCUGCAAGAUCCCACCUCUGAGCGUUAACUGAUGCACCGUUGGCCCCAGCAUCACCGAGUAGCUGUACCUACUAUAAAGCUGAAGCUGAAUAGAUGCAAAAUGCCACCAGAGGUAAAUCUUAACGAGAUUUCAAACAAACAAGCCUUAAUUAUUCAGGGUGGCCACUUGGCCAAGUGACAGAGACCCAAAUGGAACUAGCUCAAUAAACAAAAAGCGGUGGUGGAUGUACUGGUGCAAGCCGAGGGGUGGUUCUGGACUCAGGCUUGAAUCUCAUUGGCUGGGUGCAGCCUCCUGCCCGCCCCGAAGCCUCACUUGGCAAAGCUGAUUGGCUGGGCCCUGCUGAGACGCACAGAACAGGGCCGAGGGGGCGGAGUUGACCGCAUCCGAGGGGUUGAGUGGGG